CGAAUAUUCCGCAAUGGGCGCAAGCCUGACGGAGCAAUGCCGCGUGCAGGAUGAAGCCCCUCGGGGUGUAAACUGCUGUCAGGGUUCAACAACACAAUGAGUAGACCCAGAGGAAGAGACGGCUAACUCUGUGCCAGCAGCCGCGGUAAUACAGAGGUCUCGAGCGUUACGCGGAGUCAUUGGGCUUAAAGGGUGCGUAGGCGGCGCUGCAAGUGCCUUGUGAAAUACCACGGCUUAACCGUUGAAUUGCUCGGUAGACUGCAGUGCUUGAGGUCGGUAGGGGCUGCCGGAACUCUAGGUGGAGCGGUGAAAUGCGUAGAUAUCUAGAGGAACGCCAAAGGUGAAGACAGGCAGCUGGGCCGAUUCUGACGCUGAGGCACGAAAGCGUGGGUAGCG
rnacentral:rRNA from 1 species